AUUGAACGCUGGCGGCAUGCUUUACACAUGCAAGUCGAACGGCAGCGCGGGCUUCGGCCUGGCGGCGAGUGGCGAACUGGUGAGUAAUGCAUCGGAACGUGCCCAGUCGUGGGGGCUAGCCCGGCGAAAGCCGGAUUCAUACCGCAUACGACCUGAGGGUGCAAGCGGGGGACCGCAAGGCCUCGCGCUAUUGGAGCGGCCGAUGUCGGAUUAGCUAGUUGGUGGGGUAAAGGCUUACCAAGGCGACGAUCCGUACCUGGUCUGAGAGGACGACCAGCGACACUGGGACUGAGACACGGCCCAGACUCCGACGGGAGGCAGCAGUGGGGAAUGUUGGACAAUGGGGGCAACCCUGAUCCAGCCAUGCCGCGUGCGGGAAGAAGGCCUUCGGGUUGUAAACCGCUUUUGUUCGGGAAGAAAUCCUCUGGGCUAAUACCCCGGGGGGAUGACGGUACCGGAAGAAUAAGCACCGGCUAACUACGUG
rnacentral:rRNA from 1 species